rnacentral:snRNA from 1 species
AUUUAUUUUUAAAUAUUUUCUAAUAAAAUUUUAAAUCUGUUCUUAUCAGUUUAAUAUCUGAUAUGUUCUCUAGCUGAGGACUAUAUAUUAAAUGGAUUUUUGGAACAGGGAGAUGGAAUGGGAGCUUGCUCCAUCCACUCCAUGCAUUGACCUGGUAUUGCAGUACUUCCAGGAACAGUGCACCUCCC